CACGUAGGCGGUUUUUUAAGUCAGAUGUGAAAGCCCGGGGCUUAACCCCGGAAGUGCAUUUGAUACUGGGAAACUUGAGUAUGGGAGAGGGAAGUGGAAUUCCUGGUGUAGAGGUGAAAUUCGUAGAUAUCAGGAGGAACACCGGUGGCGAAGGCGACUUCCUGGACCAAUACUGACGCUGAGGUGCGAAGGCGUGGGGAGCAAACAGGAUUAGAUCCCCUGGUAGUCC
rnacentral:rRNA from 1 species